rnacentral:rRNA from 1 species
GACGAACGCUGGCGGCGUGCCUAACACAUGCAAGUCGAGCGGAGAAAUUAAAGCUUGCUUUAAUUUCUUAGCGGCGGACGGGUGAGUAACACGUGGGCAACCUGCCCUUGAGAGGGGGAUAACACAGAGAAAUUUGUGCUAAUACAGCAUAACAUUUAGACUUAGCCUGGAGUUUAAAUAAAAGGAGUAAUCCGCUCAAGGAUGGGCCCGCGGCGCAGUAGCUAGUUGGUGAGGUAAUGGCUCACCAAGGCGACGAUGCGUAGCCGACCUGAGAGGGUGAUCGGCCACAAUGGAACUGAGACACGGUCCAGACUCCUACGGGAGGCAGCAGUGGGGAAUAUUGCGCAAUGGGGGAAACCCUGACGCAGCAACGCCGCGUGAGCGAUGAAGGCCUUCGGGUUGUAAAGCUCUGUCUUUGGGGACGAUAAUGACGGUACCCAAGGAGGAAGCCACGGCUAACUACGUGCCAGCCGCCGCGGUAAAAC